rnacentral:rRNA from 1 species
CCUACGGGUGGCAGCAGUGGGGAAUAUUGGGCAAUGGGCGCAAGCCUGACCCAGCAAAGCCGCGUGAAGGAAGAAGGCUUUCGGGUUGGAAACUUCUUUUCUCAGGGACGAAGCAAGUGACGGUACCUGAGGAAUAAGACAAGGCUAACUACGUGCCAGCAGCCGCGGUAAUACGGAGGUGGCAAGCGUUAUCCGGAUUUACUGGGUGUAAAGGGCGUGUAGGCGGGAAAGCAAGUCAGAUGUGAAAACCAUGGGCUCAACCUGUGGGCUGCAUUUGAAACUGUUUUUCUUGAGUACUGGAGAGGCAGACGGAAUUCCUGGUGUAGCGGUGAAAUGCGUAGAUAUUAGGAGGAACACCAGUGGCGAAGGCGGUCUGCUGGACAGCAACUGACGCUGAGGCGCGAAAGCGUGGGGAGCAAACAGGAUUAGAUACCCCAGUAGUC